rnacentral:rRNA from 1 species
UAGGGAAUAUUGCACAAUGGAGGAAACUCUGAUGCAGCCAUGCCGCGUGAAGGAAGAAGGCCUUCGGGUUGUAAACUUCUUUUAAGAGGGACGAAGAAGUGACGGUACCUCUUGAAUAAGCCACGGCUAACUACGUGCCAGCAGCCGCGGUAAUACGUAGGUGGCGAGCGUUAUCCGGAUUUACUGGGUGUAAAGGGCGCGUAGGCGGGAAUGCAAGUCAGAUGUGAAAUCCAAGGGCUCAACCCUUGAACUGCAUUUGAAACUGUAUUUCUUGAGUGUCGGAGAGGUUGACGGAAUUCCUAGUGUAGCGGUGAAAUGCGUAGAUAUUAGGAGGAACACCAGUGGCGAAGGCGGUCAACUGGACGAUAACUGACGCUGAGGCGCGAAAGCGUGGGGAGCGAACAGGAUUAGAUACCCUGGUAGU